rnacentral:rRNA from 1 species
UACGGAGGGUGCGAGCGUUGUCCGGAAUCACUGGGCGUAAAGGGCGCGUAGGCGGCCUGAUAAGUAGGUGGUGAAAUCCUGCGGCUUAACCGCAGGGCUGCCUUCUAAACUGUCAGGCUAGAGCACGGUAGAGGCAGAUGGAAUUCCCGGUGUAGCGGUGGAAUGCGUAGAGAUCGGGAAGAACAUCAGUGGCGAAGGCGGUCUGCUGGGCCGUUGCUGACGCUGAGGCGCGACAGCGUGGGGAGCAAACAGG